rnacentral:rRNA from 1 species
UACGUAGGGUGCAAGCGUUGUCCGGAUUUAUUGGGCGUAAAGAGCUCGUAGGCGGUUUGUCGCGUCGACUGUGAAAGCCCGGGGCUCAACUCCGGGUCUGCAGUCGAUACGGGCAGACUAGAGUUCGGUAGGGGGAGACUGGAAUUCCUGGUGUAGCGGUGAAAUGCGCAGAUAUCAGGAGGAACACCGGUGGCGAAGGCGGGUCUCUGGGCCGAUACUGACGCUGAGGAGCGGAAAGCGUGGGGAGCAAACAGG